rnacentral:misc_RNA from 1 species
AAGUCGUAACAAGGUCUCCGUAGGUGAACCUGCGGAGGGAUCAUUACUGAGUGAGGGCCUUCGGGCUCGACCUCCAACCCUUUGUGAACACAACUUGUUGCUUCGGGGGCGACCCUGCCGUUUCGACCGCGAGCGCCCCCGGAGGCCUUCAAACACUGCAUCUUUGCGUCGGAGUUUAAGUAAAUUAAACAAAACUUUCAACAACGGAUCUCUUGGUUCUG